AUGCCAAAAAUAAUUAUUUAUAAACUGUGUAAUUAUUCAUCGCGAAAUCUCCGUGAUUUUUCAUCUCACAGAAGAUUAAAUUUCUCGAAAAAAAUUAUAUAGUGUUGACGAUCGAUAAGUGUGGUUUCAACCUUGUUUAACCGUCUAAUUACCAUCGUCAUUUACAUGCAUAUGUGUGACUCAAUAGCGGAGCGUAUUAUGGUGUGCGUUGUUACACUUGAAAGGAUACAACGUAUUAAAAGCGCAAUUUAAGCCUGUUCCGUAAUGCGUCAUCCUUCUAAGAAAUGAGUAAACAUGUACCUCAAGAUGUCGGUCUGUAUAUAAAUAAGCGUAUUUUUUACUCGUAAAGUGGAGUUUUUCUAUUAUCACUAUCGUGUGUUUCUCUGUUGAAUAUAUCCGCUCAUGCAUACAUAAUGACGAAAAAACGGUGGGCGCGACACACGAAAGCUAAAUCUAAAGAAACGAGGAAACGAAUGAUAUCUUGCAAACGUCAUUGAUAUCGUUAACCCACUCGUUAUCACACUUUGUUAUAAGAAAUUUGUUAUGUUAUCGUAGUUCAUAAAUUACUGGCUACGUUCGGCGAAACAAAGUGCCCGCUAAGCAAUUAAUAUGAUUAUUGGAUUUAAUAAAAUAAAUUUUAAAUGCCAAUCAAAUCCAAUUAUUAUUAUUCGCUCAAUGAGCGCUUCGUUCUGCUGAAGGCAGCCACAGUGUAGAUACUUAAUAAACACGCUGAAAAAUUUUCUACACAA